UUGAACGCUGGCGGCAUGCCUUACACAUGCAAGUCGAACGGUAACGCGGGGCAACCUGGCGACGAGUGGCGAACGGGUGAGUAAUAUAUCGGAACGUGCCCAGUAGUGGGGGAUAGCCCGGCGAAAGCCGGAUUAAUACCGCAUGAGACCUGAGGGUGAAAGCGGGGGAUCGCAAGACCUCGCGCUAUUGGAGCGGCCCGAUAUCAGAUUAGCUAGUUGGUGGGGUAAAGGCCCACCAAGGCA
rnacentral:rRNA from 1 species